rnacentral:rRNA from 1 species
GAUGAACGCUGGCGGCGUGCCUAAUACAUGCAAGUCGAGCGAACAGACGAGGAGCUUGCUCCUCUGACGUUAGCGGCGGACGGGUGAGUAACACGUGGAUAACCUACCUAUAAGACUGGGAUAACUUCGGGAAACCGGAGCUAAUACCGGAUAAUAUAUUGAACCGCAUGGUUCAAUAGUGAAAGACGGUUUUGCUGUCACUUAUAGAUGGAUCCGCGCCGCAUUAGCUAGUUGGUAAGGUAACAGCUUACCAAGGCAACGAUGCGUAGCCGACCUGAGAGGGUGAUCGGCCACACUGGAACUGAGACACGGUCCAGACUCCUACGGGAGGCAGCAGUAGGGAAUCUUCCGCAAUGGGCGAAAGCCUGACGGAGCAACGCCGCGUAAGUGAUGAAGGUCUUCGGAUCGUAAAACUCUGUUAUUAGGGAAGAACAAAUGUGUAAGUAACUAUGCACGUCUUGACGGUACCUAAUCAGAAAGCCACGGCUAACUACGUG